rfam:Capsicum annuum cultivar Zunla-1 chromosome 1, whole genome shotgun sequence
GUUCAAAUGAGGAAAGGCUUACGGUGGAUACCUAGGCACCCAGAGACGAGGAAGGGCGUAGUAAUUGAUGAAAUGUUUCUGGGAGUUGAAAAUAAGCAUAGAUCCAGAGAUUCCCGAAUAGGGAAACCUUUUGAACUACUACUAAAUCCAAGGGCAGGCAAGAGACAACCUAGCAAACUAAAACAUCUUAAUAGCCAGAGGAAAAGAAAGUAAAAGCGAUUCUCGUAGUAGCGGCAAGGGAAAUGGGAGUAGCCUAAACCUUGAAAACAGGGUUGUGGGAUAGCAAUACAAGCAUUGUGCUGCUAGGCAAAGUAACCUGAAUGAUGCACCCUAGAUGGCGAAAGUCCAAUACCCGAAAGUAUCACUAACUUACACUCUGACCCGAGUAGCAUGGGGCACGUGGAAUCCCAUGUGAAUCAGUAAGGACCACCUUCAAGGCUAAAUACUCCUGGGUUACCGAUAGCGAAGUAGUACCGUAAGGGAAAGGUGAAAAGAACCCCCAUCGGGGAGUGAAAUAGAACAUGAAACCAUAAGCUCCCAAGUAGUGGGAGGAGCCAAGGCUCUGACCGUAUUACUAUUGAAGAAUGAGCCGGCGACUCAUAGGCAGUGGCUUAGUUAAGGGAACCCACCGGAGCCGUAGCAAAAGCGAUUCUUCAUAGGGCAAUUGUCACUGCUUAUGGACCCAAACCUAGGUGAUCUAUCCAUGACCAGGAUGAAGCUUGGGUAAAACUAAGUGGAGGUCCGAACUGACUGAUGUUGAAGAAUCAACGAAUGAGUUGUGGUUAGGGGUGAAAUAUCACUCGAACCCAGAGCUAGCUGGUUCUCCUCGAAGUGCGUUGAGGUGCAACAGUUGAUUGGACAUUUAGGGGUAAAGCACUAUUUUGGUGUGGUCAGUGAGAGCGGUACCAAAUCGAGGCAAACUCUAAAUACUAGGUAUGGCAUUAAAAUUAAAAAAGAAGGGUCAAAGUUGGCUAGUGAGACGAUGGGGGAUAAAGUUCAUCAUUGAGAGAGAAAUAGCCCAGAUCACCAGCUAAGGCCCCUAAAUGGCCACUCAGUGAUAAAAGAGGUAGGGGUGCGGAGACAGCCAAGAGGUUUACCUAAAAGCAGCCAUACUGGUCGAGCGCUCUUGCACUGAAGAUGAAUAAGGCUAAGCGAUCUGCCGAAGCUGUGAGGUGUAAAAAUACAUCGGUAGGGGAGUGUUCCACCUUAGAGAGAAGCCUCCGCAUGAGGGGUGGUGGACAAAACAGAAGUGAGAAUGUUGGCUUGAGUAAUACAAACAUUAGUGAGAAUCCAAUGCCCUAAAAACCUAAGGGUUUCUCUGCAAAGUUCAUCCUCGGAGGGUGAGUCAGGGCCUAAGAUCAGACCAAAAGGCGUAGUUGAUGGACAACAGGUGAAUAUUCCUGUACUACCCCUUGUUGAUCCUGAGGGACGGAGGAGGCUAGGUUAGCUGAAAGAUGGUUAUCGGUUCAAGAACGUAAGGUGUCCCUGCUCUUUUUUAGGGUAAGAAGGGGUAGAGAAAAUGCCUCGAGCCAAUGUUCGAAUACCAGGCGCUACGGAACUAAAGUAACCCAUGCGAUACUCCCAGGAAAAUCUUGAACGACUUUGGCAAGAGGGUACCUGUACCCGAAAUCGACACAGGUGGGUAGGUAGAGAAUACUUAGGGGCGUAAGACAACUCUCUCUAAGGAACUCGGCAAAAUAGACCCAUAACUUUGGGAGAAGGGGUGCCUCUUCAAAUCACAAAGAGGGUCGUAGUGACCAGGCCUGGGCGACUGUUUACCAAAAACACAGGUCUUCGCAAAGUCGUAAGACCAUGUAUGGGGGCUGACGCCUGCCCAGUGCCGGAAGAUCAAGAAAGUUGGUAACCUGAUUACAGGGAAGCCGGCAACCAAAGCCCCGAUGAAUGGCGGCCAUAACUAUAAUGGUCCUAAGGUAGCAAAAUUCCUUGUCGGGUAAGUUCUAACCCGUAGUAAAGGCAUAACGAUCUGGGUACUAUCUCGGAGAGAGGCUCGGUGAAAUAGACAUGUCUGUGAAGAUACGGACUACCUGCACCUCGACAGAAAGAACCUAUGAAUCUUCACUAUUCCCUGGGAUUAGCUUUGGGCCUUUCCUGUGCAGCUUAGGUGGAAGGCGAAGAAUACCUUCUUCCGGGGGGCCCAAGCCAUCAGUGAUAUACCACUCUGGAAGGGAUAGAAUUCUAACCUUGUGUCAGGACCUACGGGCCAAGGGACGGUCUAAGGUAGACAGUUUCUAUGGGGCAUAGGCCUUACAAAAGGUAACGGAGGUAUGCAAAGGUUUCCUCGGGCUGGACGGAGAUUGGCCCUCAAGUGCAAAGGCAAAAGGGAGCUUGACUGCAAGACCCACCUACCGAGCAGGGCCGAAAGUCGGCCUUAGUAAUCUGACUGUGCCGAGUGGAAGGGCCGUCGCUCAAUGGAUAAAAGUUACUCUAGGGAUAACAGGCUGAUCUUCCCCAAGAGCUCACAUUGACGGUAAGGUUUGGCACCUCGAUGUCGGCUUUUCACCACCUGGGGCUGUAGUAUGUUCCAAGGGUUGGGUUGUUUGCCUAUUAAAGCAGUACAUGAGCUGGGUUCAGAACAUCGUGAGACAUUUCGGUCCAUAUCCAGUGUAGGCGUUAGAGAAUUGAGAGGACCUUUUCCUAGUAUGAGAGGACCAGGAAGGAUGCACCUCUGGUGUACCAGUUAUCGUGCCCACGAUAAACGCUGGGUAGCAAAGUACGGAGCGGAUAACUUUUGAAAGUAUCUAAGUAGUAAGCCCACCCCAAGAUGAGUGCUCUCCUAUUCCGACUUCCCCAGAGAUUCCGAUAGCACAGCCGAGACAGCGACGGGUUCUCUGCCCCUGCGGGGAUGGAGCGACAGAAGUUUUUUUGAGAAUUCAAGAAAAGGUCACGGCGAGACGAGUCAUUUAUCAUUACGCUAGGUGUCAAGUGGAAGUGCAGUGAUGUAUGCAGCUGAGGCAUCCUAACAUACCAAUAGACUUGAACCU